UUUUUUUUUUUUUUGGCAAACCCACAGUAUGCAUAAGUUCCCUGGCCAGGGAUCAAACCUGCACCAUAGCAGUGACAACACUGGAUACUUAACUGCUAGGCCACCAGGAAACUCCCUAUUUUUGGGUGUUUAAGGAACUUCCAUACUGUUUUCCAUAGGAGCUGCACCAAUUUACAUUCUCACCAGUAGUGUAGGAGGAUUCCCUUUUCUCCACACCCUCUCUAGCAUUUACUAUUUGUAGACUUUUAAUGACGGCAAUUCUGACCAGUGUGAGGUGAUACCUCAUUGUAGUUUUGAUUUGCAUUUCCCUGAUAAUUAUCAAUGUUGAGAAUCUCUUCAUGAGCCUACUGAGCUAUUUGUCAUCUUCAGAAAUAUGUCUAUUUAGUCUUCUGCCCAUUUUUUUGUUUCUUGGUAUUGAGUUGUAUGAGCUGUUUGUAUAUUUUAGAAAUUAAGCCUUUGUCAGUCACAUCAUUUGCAAAUAUUUUUUCCCAGUCCAUAGGUUGUCUUUUCAUUUUGUUAAGAUUGUAAAUUUGAUUGUGCCCCAUUUUGUUUAUUUUUACUUUUAUUUCUAUUGCCUUGGGAGACUGACCUAAGAAACUCUGCUAUGAUUUUUGUCAGAGAAUGUUUUGCCUAGUUCACCUCUAGGAGUUUUAUGGUGUCAUGUCUUAUAUUUAAGUGUUUAAGCCAUUUUGAGCUUAUUUUUGUAUAUUGUAUGAGGGAGUGUUUUAAGUUCAUUUAUUUACAUGUGGCUGCUCAGCUUGUCCAAGACUACUUGCUAAAGAGACUGUCUUUACUUCAUUAUAUAGUCUUGUCUCCUUUUGUUGAAGAUUAAUUGACUAUGGGUGUGUGGGUUUAUUUCUGGACCCUCUAUUCCCUUCCAUUGAUCCCUAUGCCUGUCUUUGUGACAAUACUGUGCUGUUUUGAUUACUGCAGCUUUGUAGUAUUGUCUGAAGUCUGGGACAGUUAUGCCUCCAGCUUUUCUCAGGAUUGCUUUGGCACUUGUGGGUCUUUUAUGAUUCCAUGUAAAUUUUAUGAUAAUUUAUUCUAGUUUUGUGAACAAUGUCAUGGGUAAUUUGAUAGGGAUCCUAUUAAAUUAGUUGAUUGCUUUGGGUAGUAUGGCCAUUUUAACAAUGUUAAUUCUUCCAAUCCAAGAGCAUGGGGUAUCUUUCCAUUUCUUUGGAUCAUCUUAAAUUUACUUUAUCAAUAUUUUAUAGUUCUCAACAUACCGGUCUUUCACCUCCUUAGUCAUGUUUAUUCUUAAGUUUUCUGUGUUUGGGCUGUGGGAUGGAAAUCCUGUAAAAUUGGAUUGUUAUGAUCAUUAUACAACUACAGAUGUGAUUAAAUUCAUUUGAGUAAUAAAAAAAUACUAAAAAAAAUAAAAGCUAUUGUUUUUAUUUUUAAAACACAACCUGUAUUUUUUAGCAUUUCCCCAGUGGUGCCCUUGUACAACAAAGGUUGAGAACCAUUACAGUUAUCACUCAACAAAUAUUUAUAAAACUGUGCUCAUCCAUACUAGGAAAUAAAAAAGAUUUCUAGAUUAUCUAGAAUAGGGUUUUUACAGGUCAUUCCUGCCUCUGAGAAAUCUAGACACAUGACUAUAUGGAGAGUAACUUAUUUUUUUAAGUUGCUUGGUUUUCCCCCAAAAAAUAAAGAAGAAAUCAAAAUGAGUACAAAUAGCAGAAGGUUGCUUAAACCUAAACAUCCAUUGUCAGAGGAUUGAUUAAAUAAUAAUGAUGUGCCUCAAAAUUGGAAUUCUAUAUAGCCACUGAUAGGGAAACUCUCUAGCUGCAGACAUACACCAAUACCCAAGACAGAGUAAAUGAAAAAACUAAGAUACAAAGCAAAAUUUGGUGGCUGUUUUGGGUUGUGUUCCUUAUCCCUGGUACCAUUGAAGUUGACUGUAUUUGCAGAAGAUGAGGCCAGACUAGAUUAGGGUGGGCUCAAGUCCAAUGACUGGUGUCCCUUUAAGAAGAGAUAAACUUGCAUACAGACCCAGAAGGUCACAUGAAGAUGGAAACAAAGAUUGGAGUGAUGGAGCCCCAGCAGCUAGGAUAGAGGAAGGGAACAGAUAGAUGUUCCCUCAGAACCUCCAGAAAAAGCAUAUCCUACCAACAACUAGAUUUUGGACCUCAAGCCUCCCUAUUGUGAGAAAGUAAGGUUCUAUUGUUUCAAGCCACCCAAUUUGUGGUGAUUUGUUAUGGCAGCCCUAGAAAACUAAUACAGUAGCUUAUCAUUUCUGGGAAUCUAUCUAUCUAUCUAUCUAUCUAUCUAUCUAUCUCUAUCUCUCUCUCUCUCUCUCUCUCUCUCUCUCUCUCUCUCUCUCUCUCUCUCUAUCAUCUAUCUAUCCAUCUAUCAAUACUAAAACUCUUUCCGAAAGGAUACCCAAGAAACUGAGGCCAAAAUGACUUCUGGGAAAGACAUGAGGAUGGCUGGGAGCAAGGGAAGAAAGAGAGAUUUACUUUUCAGUGCAUGCUCUUUUAUGUUUUUUGACUUUUGUACUAUAUUCAGAUGCUAUUUUAUUUCAUUUUCUUUUUUAGGGCUGCACCCAUGGCAUAUGUAAGUUCCCAGGCUAAGGGUAAAAUAGGACCUAUGCUAUAGCCACAGCAAUGCAGGAUCUGAGCUGUGUCUGAGACCUAUACCACAGCUCAUAGCAAUGCUGGAUCCUUAACCCACUGAGUGAGGCCAGGGAUCAAACCCAUGUCUUCAUGGAUACUAGUCAGGUUUGGUUACUACUGCACUGCCAUGGGAACUCCAAAUACUAUUUAUUUUUAAAAAAUCAAUGAUUUUACAAUAAUUGUGAUUUUUUUUCCCCCAGCUUGGGUCAGCUGCAGAAAUAACCCAAGAAAGCUGCUUUAACCUCUCAGGGCCUCAGACUUCACAACCAGAAAAUGGGGAUAAUAAUACCAAUUAUAGCCAACCCUUAAAAAAAUGCACCAACCCCUCACACAGUUGAAAAUCCACAUAUAACUUUACAGUUGGCCCUUUGUAUCUGUGGUUCUGCCUCUGGGGAUUCAACCAGUGUUGGAUGGUGUAGCACUGUGGUACAUCUUUAUUAAAAAAAAAUCUACACAUAAUUGGAUGCACACAGAUCCAACCUCUGUUAUUCAAGGGUCAACUGUACCUUACACACAGUGCAUGAUGUGCCUGGAAGGGUGCCUGGCAGAGAAAAGGGCUCAAGGAGGGAUCAUAUUGGCUAUGGUGUUUUUUUUUUUUUUUUUUUGUCUUUUCUAGGGCUGCACACAAGGCAUAUGGAGGUUUCCAGGUUAGGGGUCUAAUUGGAGCUGUAGCUGCUGGCCUAAGCCACAGCCACAGCAAUGUGGGAACCAAAACGCGUCUGUAACCUGUACCACAGCUCAUGGCAAAGCCGGAUCCUUAACCCACUGAGCGAGGCCAGGGAUCAAACCUGCAACCUCAUGGUUCCUAGUUGGAUUCGUUAACCACUGAGCCACUACAAGAACUCCUGGCUAUGGUUUUUAUGGCUAUUAUGUGAUUAAGGUGCCUGAAUAAUAGUUAAAAUCCAAACAAGGGAUCAUGGGUGGAACACUGGAAGGGCCACACUAAACUGUGGUGGCAACUAAUAAAGCUGGCACCUAAUCAAGGAUAGCAUCUGCUCCACGAAGGAGAUCUUCCUCAGCAGCCUUCCUCAACAGCAGCAGUGCCACCUUCAUAGCUGGAUAAUUCUAGGUUGUGGGUCUGUGCUGCACACAGUAGGUUUUAGCAUUGCUUGUCUUUGCCCACAAGGUGCCAGGAGUAUGUCUCCCUCAGUUGGGUUCAUCAAAGAAGACUCCUGACAAUGGCUCCCAUCCUCUGGUGAACAAAACUGGCUUAGCUGAGAACCACUAGUCCACAGAUUGGCAGUUCCCAACAUGUGCCACCCAGACCAGCAAUAAAUAUUACUGGGAACUUCUCAGAAAUGCAGAAUCUGGGCCCCAUCUCAGACCCACCGUAGCUGAACCUGCAUUUUAACAAGAUCUCCCUGUCACAUUAAAAUGUGAUCAGCAUUCAUCAACACCAGUGGCUCUCCCCUUCUCUUAUAAACAUAGGAAACCUUGCCCCUUUGAGUAAAAACACAUAUUACUGGCUCCUACCCAACCUGAGAAAGGGCUGGGAGUAGAUAUUUUAAAGUGAAUCUUAGGAUCAAGAAGUUUGGGGAAACUCUACCGUGUUUAUAUAGAGAAACAAAAUUUAGCAAUUCCUUUCUAGAAUUGCAUGGGCAGAGAGUGUCUUGGAUCCCAAACUUGUUCUCUGGAUAUUUAUCAAGUCCUCACUGAGCACUGGCCCAGGGACAAGUGGCUAAAAGAGACCCAUCUCCUGAGUGGCACCGAGCUGACAGCCCAAAGUGCACUGGAUGGCGCAGAAGUAGAGUCCAGCUGACAUUGUUAGAGAACUUCUACAUCUAACUGUGUUGGAAUCCUUUGACUUCCUGGUCCCAUAAGCAAAUAAAGUUUGGUUUUGGAAUUCCUGUUGUGGUUCAACGGUGAUGAACCUGACUAGUAUCCACAUGGAAGAGGGUUUGAUCCCUGGCCUCACUCCGUGGGUUAAGAAUCCAGCAUUGCUGUGACCUGUGGUGCAGGUCACAGACACAGCUCAAAUGCUGGGCUGCUCUAACUGUGGUAUAGCCUGGCAGCAGCAGCUCCGAUUCGACCCCUAGCCUGAGAACCUCCAUAUGCUGCAAAUGCAGCCCUAAAAAGCAAAAAAAAAAAAAAAAAAAAAAAAAAUUUGAUUUUGCUUGAGGCAAUUUAAGUUUUAUUUCUAAUCACUUGUCUCUGAGAUAGUCUCAAUGAACACACUAUCCUCUAAGGUCACAGGACUGAUUUUCCUGCCCAUGACCAUAUGUGAUGGAAUAACUUUCUAAGUCUAAUAUGGAUUCCCACAAAGUUCUGUCUAUAGGGAGAUAAUACAGAGCUCAGAAGCCAUAAGAAUGUGAAAAUUUGUGUAGCUAUAAGAGCAUUAUAAAUCAAUUGUAUUCUGGCUUUAUACAUCCAUCUCUUGUGAGUUUGGUUCCUGUAAGUCAGUGUCCAGGUUUUAACACAUCCAAGUAUAAGUAGAGCAAAAGAAAUGUUCCAACCAGCCCCUGGAAUGAAAUGAUGUUAUACUCCCCACCCCACUGUUUUCAUGUAGGACUUCUUUUGUUUGUUUGUUUGUUUAGGGCUGCACUUGCAGCAUAUGGAAGUUCCCAGGCUAGGGGUCAAAUCAGAACUACAGCUACCACCUAUACCACACCCACAGCAACAUGGGAUGUGGACUGUGUCUGCGACCUACACCAUAGCUCACAGCAACGCUGGAUCCUUAACACACUGAGUGAGGAAUAUAGCAUAUCUCACUUUUUUUAUAUUGAUUGCACACUGAAAUAAUAAUAUGCUGAGCAUACUGGGUUAAAUAAAGUGUCUUAUUAAAAUUAAUUUCACCCAUUACUUUUUACGUCUUAAAUGGGGCUAUUAGGAAAAUUUAAGUUACAUAUAUGGCUAUUUGUGGCUCCUAUUAUAUAGUCAGUUCUAGCUAUAUUGUUAUAUAUAGUAUAUAUAUAUGCACACAAUAUAUAGUAUAUAUUAUCUAUAUAUAAUUGUUAUUUUGUAUAUGGAUUAUACAAAAUAAGUUAUACUUAUUUUGAAAAUGUGAAUUUGCUCCCAUGAAGCAGAUACAUUGAGAGGUAAUUAAACAUAACACUAAUAACAUGUCUACUCGUGUCUGUAAGAAACACUAGGUGAAUCCUGAAAACGGCACCCAGCUGAACUGAGUUGUGCGGAAAACACACAAAAUGCUCACACAUGCACAGACCUCAAACAUCCACCAGAUACUUCAGUUCACCACACGGAUUAUGCGCCACAUGAACCCACAUCUGGUGCUACAACUUUCCGUCCAAUUUUAAAUAACCCUCCUUUCACCACUUUCCAUAACUCACAUGCAGCCACCAUGGCUCGUGGAUGCCACUUCCUCAAGCAAAUGCCAGGUCUUUUCCAAGCUAAAAUGCAAUAUACAGUAUAGUAUUUACACAUAUACUUGCAGUUAACAUAUGCAAAAGUGGGCUGUUUUUACUAGGCUCCUUUUUUUUUUUUUUUUAAUGUUUCUCUGACAAAGUUUUUAGUGUUAUGUCCCUCACCCCACUUACUCCAUAGGUCCUACAGUUUUUAUUGCGAGAUUUUGCAUCUCACUGUAUUUUUCAGUAAUGCCUACGGCUGUGUUUCUAUUGGACGGUGCUGUGCUACAGAGCCUUGGUUCCCAAAGCA
rnacentral:lncRNA from 1 species